UAUAUAUAUAUAUAUUAUAUAUAUAUAUAAAAUCCGUUCAGUCUGUCUUUGUGUGUCUUCUAGGAUUUCGGGCAUCCUCCAUCCAAUUGCGCUCAAAUUUGAUAUGUAAAUACCGACGGUAUGAGGGCGUGUAUAAGUCCUGGAAAAAUUACAAAAAUUGAUUCCAGGUGGGAAUGCGAUCGAUAAAUCCGUGGAACAUCGUUUUCCUGUCGUAUAUAUGUAUAUAUAUAUAUAC